rnacentral:rRNA from 1 species
AUGCCGCUGGACGCGAUCUUCGCCGUCUUCCACAAACUCGACCACAUCGACAUCCUGAUGGCCGCUGACCAGGUGUGCAGCUCCUGGCGCCGCGCGGCGCGGGACGAGCCCGCGCUAUGGCGCCGCAUCGUCAUGCGCGGCAACGCGGAUCUCUACUCCCGCAUCAACCGCCAGGGGAUCGCCUGCGACGCUGUGCGGCGCAGCGCGGGGCAGUGCGAGGCAUUCUGCGGCGAGUACGCCGGCGACGCCGGUUUCCUGUUGUACCUCAGCGAGCAGGCUCCCUGUUUGAAGAGCCUUCGCCUCAUCUCAUGCGAUGACAUCUCACUUACCGAGUUUGCAGAGCUAAUAAGAAGGUUUCCUCUGCUCGAGGAGCUCGAGCUAUCUGAGUGUCCAGAGCUACUAGUGGAUUGGUCUCGCUCUCUAUAUCCUGAGGUAUACGAGGUUCUUGGGCAAGCAUGCCCACAGCUGAAGCAUUUCAGGAUGAACAAACAAUACUUCGACGAGCAGAAAUGGGGCAACAAUGACACCGAUGCCGAGGGGAUUGCAGCCAUGCAUGAGCUGCGCUCACUGCAGCUCGUGGCCAACGACCUCACCAACAAAGGGCUGGCAGCCAUCUUGGAGAACUGCCCGCGCCUGGAGUCCCUGGACAUACGCCAUUGCUUCAAUGUCAAAAUGGACGACGACGAUGGCGGCGGCGAGGACCACGACGGCACGCUGCUGCGAGAGAAGUGCGCCCGUAUCAAAACGCUGCGACUUCCCGGCGACUCGACCCAUGACUACCAUCUCGAGGUUCAAAGCCCUAGGUUCGCUUGCAAGGAGCGUGGCUGGUCCAUCAGUCCGGUCUACUACUCCCCGUGGCUCCAGGAAUCGGAGGAAGACGACGACGAUUUUUACCGUAGUCCUUCCCGUUACGAGGCUGACCUCGACAAAUACGAGAAGGUGCUUCCUAGGAGCAUGCGCACCUUCCUCUAA